rnacentral:rRNA from 1 species
UACGUAGGGUGCGAGCGUUUAAUCGGAAUUACUGGGCGUAAAGCGUGCGCAGGCGGUGAUGUAAGACAGGUGUGAAAUCCCCGGGCUUAACCUGGGAACUGCAUUGGUGACUGGCAGGCUUUGAGUGUGGCAGAGGGAGGUAGAAUUCCACGUGUAGCAGUGAAAUGCGUAGAGAUGUGGAGGAAUACCGAUGGCGAAGGCAGCCUCCUGGGCCAACACUGACGCUCAUGCACGAAAGCGUGGGGAGCAAACAGG